ACCAAAUACAGUCUAUCAGGUAAUCACCAUCGCUCGUAGUUCUCCCAAGGCGUACUGCGUUCUUUCUGUUGUCAUCUUUAGUUGGGUACAAAUGUUCCAACAUAGCCAACUCCGACAAUAAAGAAAGCCCCUGCCUGUAGCAACAAAUACACGAAAAAAUGGUUGUGUCCAAACAGUAUGUUGUAGAUGGCGCAGUGCAGUAGGUACAUGCCAACCAAGAUCUCCAAUAUUUGAACCCUAUAGAAGCAUAAAUGUUAUAUUAAGUUAGUAUAGAACAAUGGUGAAACUGUAAUAGAUUUUGAAUAUUUUUAUGCCCCACGAAAAUUAAAGAUUUGUUCUUGUGCAUUUGGUCGUAUUGGUGGUUACCUUGAUGAUUUGUUUUACUUAUGGGAUAAAUAUGUUUUUCUAUACCAUGUUUUGGCACAAUUUGAAGUAGUGCUUAUCGGACGAGUUACCUUUCUCCAAAGCGAAAUCUUGACCUCUUUGGUGCUUUAUUGUUCUUUGGCUGCUUCAUUGUGUUCCCUAGCUUUUCAGUCACGACCCAUUCAUUAACUCGGUUAGCUUCAAGGAGUCCUAUGAUUGCUGCCUUUGAUCUAUGAAGAGACAUGACAUUCUCAAACAAUAUCCAGAACACAAGAAGAUGGAUAGACCUGCAACAAAGAACUUCAUGCCUUAUAGUGGAAAUUGCGUUAAGAAUUGUAAUGGCGGCUGGAAGAUAGAUGGCUAGCGGCUUUGGGAGGUUGACUUCAGGAACCAAGAUCGUCGCUGGGAUUACAAUGCAGUAGAAGAAAAAGAUCUUGUUUGAUGGCGUCUAGCUGAUACUUGGUGUAUCGUUUCUUCCCCAGGCAUUUGACGCACACAAUCACGGCAGCCAUGUAAAUGCGUUCAACAAAUAGCAUUACAGACAUGCAUAUGCAUACAUAAACUGCAACUCGCAAAACAGGGACAAUAAUUGGAACACGAAUACUGUCCCAAGUAUUGAUUAGGCUCAUCGUUGGAUCAUUGGUGUCGUUCAGCUCCCGCAAGUUGAGAACUAAGUCUCUCAUGGUGAAAAACUGGUUUUUGUGGUGUAAAAAAAAAGAAAGAAAAUGGAUCUAGUGUAAAGAAAAGUAAGGGAAACGAAGGAAAGGCUUAUAUGCAGAUGAACAGAAGGAGUAAAACGAGUAGAAUGAUUUUUGAAGUCAAGUCUUUCCUUUAAAUAGGAGUAGGGGAAAACAGAGGAGUAUGUAUGGACACACCGCUAGUGCUUGCUUAGGUGGAAGAGCUCGAAGGAAGAAGUAAUCUACUCAAAGUGAAACUCUUCUUUGCGAGAGACACACGGUGCACAUGCAAGUGGAGGUGCUGCUACGUAGCACUUGCUAGCUGGAAUUCUGGCCUUUUUUCGCCGACAUGGCAGUUGAGUUUGUGACGCAGGUCUGAGUGUUAAUGAGUAAAGAAAUGGGGUGCCGAUUUUAGGUUAGUGCAAUCACAAAUUCCAAUAUAGCAUGGAAUCGUCAGUUGGAAUUGACUGAAACUUUUACAUCAGUGUGAAAACUCCCUUUUUCCUGCAGAGAAGAGCAUCAUGUGUUGAUAAGGAUUCGAGCAAUUCACUGUUUUAAUUUUAAUUUAAUAUAUAAAUAAAUAAU